CACUGGGCCUUGGUAACCAGUCUCAAGAGUUGUUGCUAGAUUAUCCAUGAUGUUAUAUGAUGUUAUUGGUUGUUGCUGUUCCUAUUCCUGUUGUUGUUGUUUUUGCAUAUAUAAAGAUAGCCUCGUGUUUAGGCUCAUUUGACAAAAUGAGUAAACAGAAUCUGUUGCAGUAUGGACAGGGGAAAACUGCAUUAACUCAACAAUGACUGUUCCAGGAGCACUAGUGGGUUUUGGUCAUUUUAAUAAGCAGGUAAUUCUGAGAGGAUGUACUGUCUCAUUGAGUUGUCACUGUAAAGAAAUUGUGUAUUUAGUAUGUAAAAACUAUAGGCUAAACCACUGGAAUAAAUCAAUGGGUAUCUGAA